rnacentral:misc_RNA from 1 species
GUGAAUCAUCGAAUUUUUGAACGCAAAUGGAAAGGGGGGGGAGGAAGGAAAGGAGGACGGUUUGAGGGUCAGUGAAAUAAAAAUCGGUGUGGGUGAGGGGGGUCGGGGGGAAGGGGCGGAAUUGAGUUGUCGGACCGUCGGUUAAGUGACUUAAAAUUUUGCAUGAUUUUCGAACGUAUUUAAAUUUCUUACGUACGUUUGAGAUAUCGAAGAGUGGAUGAGGUUCGGUCAGGGUCAUGAGAGGAAGCGAU